UACAGAGGUCCCAAGCGUUUGUUCGGAUUCACUGGGCGUAAAGGGUGCGUAGGUGGUGAGGUAAGUCGGAUGUGAAAUCUCCGGGCUCAACCCGGAAAUGGCAUUGGAAACUACCUUGCUGGAGGAUUUGAGGGGGGAUUGGAAUACUUGGUGUAGCAGUGAAAUGCGUAGAUAUCAAGUGGAACACCAGUGGCGAAGGCGAAUCCCUGGAAAAUACCUGACACUGAGGCACGAAAGCUAGGGGAGCAAACAGG
rnacentral:rRNA from 1 species